CAAAAAUAUCCAUUUCUUCAAAAACUAAAAAUCCUAAUGCCAUGGGCUACUACAGCGAUAAUUAAAUUCAUACGAUAAAGGGAUUGUCUCCACACUCAAAUUAGAAAACAUUCUUUGAAUUUAAAAUUAAAAAAAUAAUAUUUUAGUUUUAGGAACAAGCUUACAAAACUAAUAAAAGAAGCUAAAAUUAUGUACUGCAAAACAAAAUUAAUUUAAUUUGAAAAUAACAUCAAACUUAAAUGGCAGUUAAUUAGUGAUGUUAUAUCAUAAAAUAGCAAACCAAAUAAAUGUAAUAAAUUAUUAUAUAGCGUUAAUAAUAACAUUGAACGAACUAGUGAAAAACCAGCCUUUAUCCUAGCAAACCAAUUUAAUAACCAGGUACUUGAUAAGCAUCACCUAUGACUUAGUCAUGCAAUUAGAGAAUCGAAAAGAGACAAUAAUAAUUAUAAUAAAUAAUAAUGAUUUACUAAUUGUAUUGUUGUAUGUCUACUAUAUAUAAAAAUAAUAUUAUUUUAAUAUUAUAGCACUUGCUAAUAUCGAUACGACAAGUAAGUACAGUUUGUAUAACUCUUACUUUUUAACGGAUGUCUUAGUAUUUUUAUUUAUAACAAAAAAACAAUAAAAAAUAAAAUGGCAGGUUAUAUUUUUUAAUUUUUUAAUCGAAAAUCUUUAUAAAGUUUUAAAUAUAAUAAUUUUCGGCAAUCUUAUUAUAGCAUUGUGCACUCUACAUUUCCAUCGAGCCUAUUUCUGCUUAAAUGAUAAAUAAUAUUUUAUUUAAAUAGAAAAAUAUCGAUUACCUAACUUUUAGGUAUUUAUUGCUUAUGGGUAGUAUUAUUUAAUGAUAUUAACUAUAUUAAAAAAGUAUAAAUACAUGAUUACAUUUUAUAGGUGACGCAUAUGAUUAUGUUGAGCAACUGAUGACUUUUGCGGAUUUCGAUGGUACUUUGACGUGAAUUAAUAAUAAUAAUAAUAAUUUUAGAAGACUAUUGUUUUUCUCACAUAAAUUCUUAAAAGUUUUAUCGGACUCAAAAUGCUAAAAUAAUAAUGGUAUUACAAUUGCUAUAGUCUGUAAUAGACUUACUUAAGUUAUAGCAACUUAAUAAUAAAAUAAUUUUUAGAUUCAGAGAAUAACAAGUUAUCUAUUGGUUUUAAUUUGAUAUUGGGUUUUUUUUUUUUUUUGUCAGCAAAGAACUUUUUGAAAAGAAAUCUUGCUCUUAUCUAUAGAGUACAGUACCUGAUCUAAAAAAAAAAUUGUUCAAGGGGUUUUUGAAAUAAUUGGGAAAACCCCGAAAAAAAUAGGGGAAACGGCAAAUACUUAAGGUCCAUGCACCGCGUGAUCGAUUUAAAUAUUACUCCAAUCGAAAAAUGGAAGGAGAUCGAUUUUGUUCCUUUUAAUAUAUAGCAAUUUAAAAUAAGUCGUUUAAUAACGAGUCUGGGUCUAUCAACUAACAACCAUUCGACCAACAGGAUGAUUGACGGACAAUAAUUUAUAAUGCCAUGCGAUUUAUAUUUUUAUUUUAAAAAUCAAAGGAAAAUAUACGAUUUCUAAUAGAAUAAUAUAUAAAGUAUUAAUUUAUAAUAAAACGAAAUUUAUGUUUUUAUUUUUAAUAUAGGUAUAUUGUAUAAAAAAAAAAUUCUAUACUUCCUUAAGUACCGCCUCAGACCAAUUUACUUUUAGAAAUAAAACCUUGAAAAUCGGAGUAAAAUUUCUGAUAGAAAAAUUUCUUAUAGAAAAAAAUGUAAAACUAAGACAUUUCUCGCACUGCCCAUAAUCUUUAAAAUUCAAGGAUAACAAUUAUUGUAAUAAUUUUUUCAUAGUAUUCAUUUAUUUUUAACUUAAGGAAGUUAUUUUAUUUAUAUUCUCAUUUUAUAUGGAUAUUCAGUAUCAAUACUGGAAUAAUAUACUGUUACAUUAACGUAUACAAUUAAAAUGUAAUUAAGUAUUCAUAUAAUUCUAUAUUCUUCUUUGUAGAGAAUAAAGUCGACAAGUCACAUCCAAAACAAUUUUGUGAAAGACUGGAAGCGAAUAAUGGCACACCACUUUCAUCCAUACUACCAGAUGAGAAACCUGAUGAAAUCUGACAAAAAAAAUGUAUAUUGCAUUUAUAUGAAUAUAUUUCACAAUAUUAUAUUGUUAAAAAAAAUAAAUUCGAUAUUAUUUGUACAUUCUUAUAUCUUCGAUAGGUAUACUUGAAUUUAAUAAAUAUUUAUAAAUUGUAUUAAAUAUAGUAAUAUCAAAGUAAAAUUUUCGUUUUCUCUUUAUGCUCAAUAGAUCACUACUAUCACCACUAUAAUAAUAGUGUGUUCAAAGUACAUCAAUGUAGAUUAUUUAUGUGGAUUGUAGAUACCAAACAGUGAACAUACUUCCAACAUUCAGA